rnacentral:rRNA from 1 species
GACGACCGCUGGCGGCGUGCUUAACACAUGCAAGUCGAACGGAAAGGCCCUGCUUUUGUGGGGUGCUCGCGUGGCGAACGGGUGAGUAACACGUGAGUAACCUGCCCUUGACUUUGGGAUAACUUCAGGAAACUGGUGCUAAUACCGGAUAGGAGCUCCUGCUGCAUGGUGGGGGUUGGAAAGUUUCGGCGGUUGGGGAUGGACUCGCGGCUUAUCAGCUUGUUGGUGGGGUAGUGGCUUACCAAGGCUUUGACGGGUAGCCGGCCUGAGAGGGUGACCGGCCACAUUGGGACUGAGAUACGGCCCAGACUCCUACGGGAGGAAGCAGUGGGGAAUAUUGCACAAUGGGCGGAAGCCGGAUGCAGCAACGCCGCGGGGGGGAUGACGGCCUUCGGGUGGUAAACCGCUUUCGCCUGUGACGAAGCGUGAGUGACGGUAAUGGGUAAAGAAGCACCGGCUAACUACGUG